AAAAAAACAAAAAACCCAAUGCAGAAAUAGGCAAAAGACCUGAAUCAAAGAAGAGGACAUAUAAAUAGAAUACAAAUUAAGAUGCCCAAUAUCACUGGAAACCAGAAAAAUGAAGAUUAAGAUCUUCAGGGAACUAUUACUAUAAUCCAUCAGAUUGGCAAAAAUUAAAAGUCUGAUAAUUCAAGUCAGGCAAAGAUGUGGAGCAAGAGGAACUCUUAUGAAUAAUCUCUUUGGUAAUAUCUAGUAUAGAUGCCUAUAAUCUACUACUCAGCAAUUUCACCGCUAGAGAGAGAAAUGUGCACAUUGCGCUCCAGAAAAUGUGUGCAUGUAGAUUUAUAGCAUUGUUCAAAAUGGCCCCAAACCGCAAAUAACCCAAAAGUGCAUCCCAACAGAAUACACAGUUAUAGAAUAUCCACACAAAGUUACAAUACACAGCAAUGAAAAGGAAUGGACUUUUGAUAUGUUACAAACUAGAUGAAUCUUAAUGUCAUAAUGCUAAGCAAAAG
rnacentral:lncRNA from 1 species